rnacentral:rRNA from 1 species
UACGUAGGGUGCAAGCGUUAUCCGGAAUUAUUGGGCGUAAAGAGCUCGUAGGCGGUUUGUCGCGUCUGCUGUGAAAACUGGGGGCUCAACCCCCAGCCUGCAGUGGGUACGGGCAGACUAGAGUGCGGUAGGGGAGAUUGGAAUUCCUGGUGUAGCGGUGGAAUGCGCAGAUAUCAGGAGGAACACCGGUGGCGAAGGCGGGUCUCUGGGCCGAUAUUGACGCUGAGGAGCGAAAGCGUGGGGAGCAAACAGG